rnacentral:rRNA from 1 species
GACGAACGCUGGCGGCGUGCUUAACACAUGCAAGUCGAACGGAAAGGCCCUGCUUUUGUGGGGUGCUCGUGUGGCGAACGGGUGAGUAACACGUGAGUAACAUCCCCUUGACUUUGGGAUAACUUCAGGAAACUGGGGCUAAUACAGGAUAUGAGCUCCUGCUGCAUGGUGGGGGUUGGAAAGUUUCGGCGGUUGGGGAUGGACUCGCGGCUUAUCCGCUUGUUGGUGGGGUAGUGGCUUACCAAGGCUUUGACGGGUAGCCGGCCUGAGAGGGUGACCGGCCACAAUGGGACUGAGAGACGGCCCAGACUCCUACGGGAGGCAGCAGUGGGGAAUAUUGCACAAUGGGCGGAAGCCUGAUGCAGCAACGCCGCGUGCGGGAUGACGGCCUUCGGGUUGUAAACCGCUUUCGCCUGUGACGAAGCGUGAGUGACGGUAACGGGUAAAAAAGCACCGGCUAACUACGUG